rnacentral:snRNA from 1 species
GCUGCCUCCCGUUCACAAUAGGUUACACAGACUUUGCGCAGUGGCAGUAUCGUAGCCAAUGAGGUUUAUCCGAGGCGCGAUUAUUGCUAAUUGAAACAUAAUAGGUUACACAGACAAUUAAU